CCCUUUGCAACAGUCACCGAUUUGUUUGAUGCCCCAAACCCUUGAAAUCCACCCAAUUUAACACAAUCAUCCUUCGCAUCAACUGCCCUAUUGGAGGCCUUAACUCCACGAAAGCUUCCCGAUUCAGUACAGUCCAUAUCAGCAUCGACUGAGUCCCUAAUCUUCCUCUUGCAAGUCCUCAAGGGCAAGAAGACAGAACCAAUAGAAGAAUCCAAGUCCUCAUCGAGAUCAACAUCAUUAAAAACCUCUAAACUCGAAUGGGAAGAAAG
rnacentral:misc_RNA from 1 species